AACAGGAAGAAGACAAAAUGCAUUAAUAGGUUGAAUGGCAGAGAGAGUUGUAGUUCCCCCUCUUGAGCAGUGAGCGACUGCAUGAAGAGGAUGUCAGGAUCUUUGCUCCCCAGUUUGAGGAACAGAAAUGAAGCUGAUCUUUCAUUGUCAUCAGAUUUGGGAUCCUUCCUCUUCGCCUUAAAUAGUUGCCUCCAGCUGAGCAGCCACACGCCUGCUUCUCCGGUGCUGAGACAGGAUGGAAGACCAAGACUUAGCUCUGCUUCUGUUUUCCUUCAGAUUGACCACCACGUGACCUCAGUGUGGGCACAGGUCGUCUGCCUUAAUGUGGCCCUGUGGAAACCUGGUGCAAGGGCACAGAGCUGACCUUUGCAGACAUUUUGGACGUCAACCCUCUUCUCAGUACGCCUUUGUGAGGACUAAAGAAGCAGAGAACACCGUGUGCAUCAGUUUUAUUGACACCCAGGAACGACUGGUUUUUGCAGAGAAGUAAUAUAACUCCCGUCAAACUAGGUGUCUGAUAGGUGCUAAUUUGACAUGGCAACGGGAUAAAAGUUGGGCCCAGGCUGUCUCCAACCUCACUGCAUUGGAAUGCUGUCUACUUAGCAUAGGAGUCAAACAUCUCCCUGGCAAUAGAUUGCCUUCCACUCACAGGCCUACUAAGUAAAUAGAAAAGUAAUUAACAGUGUGCUGGGGUAGAAGCAUCAGAUGGAAUUUCAUCAAGGCAGGAAGGACACAGCGAAUCAUGAAGUCCUGUGGUGUCCACCGUGGGCUGGAUCUCUUGUGCUGUCUCUAAGACGGGCAUGUCACUUCUGCCUGUCUCCAAGAAGAGAAAUUCCUGAAUCUUUAAUUAUAUUUCACUUUGAUCAAGGGAAACGAAACAGAAAAGUCAGAAAGUACCCAAAGUUGGUCCAAAAAUAAUCUUUUUCAUUUUCUGGUGCACGAUGUUGGUCUUGAGUUCUAUGCAUGCCUUCCCUUUCCCUUGGCUGUGUGUUUUCUGUUUUUAUUUUUCCUCAACUAUUAAAUAUCUUCAUUUUGAAAAGUGA